UAAUAACUGCUAGAAGGAUUAUGCCACCCCCGUGACUGUCAGUGUUGAUUCUGCUGAAGCUGAUCUGGCUGGCUAGUCAGGUGCCACUUCAUCCCAUUUGCAUUCCUUUGGUCCUUCAUGAAGCUCCUUGGUAGGAGAGGAUGACUUCCCAGAACAAAGAAAGACCAGUUUUGGUCAAGAGUAUACAAGUAGCUGUGCUCCCCUGCUAGAGUCUCAAAAAAUCAAAAUCUGUAACAGGUUUUUCCCUAAUAGAGUUAAAAAAAAUAAGAAACCCAAGAGACAU
ensembl:misc_RNA 7SK 7SK RNA